AUGCGUUAGCUGCGGCGCGGAUACCGUGAAAUGUAACCCACACCUAGGUGCCCACCGUUUACGGCGUGGACUACCAGGGUAUCUAAUCCUGUUUGCUCCCCAUGCUUUCGCUCCUCAGCGUCAGUAUGGGCCCAGAGAGCCGCCUUCGCCAGUGGUGUUCCUCCUAAUAUCUGCGCAUUCCACCGCUACACGAGGAAUUCCCAUCUCCCCUACAGAACUCUAGUCAGCCCGUAACCAAAGCACGCCCGGGGUUAACCCCUGUAUUUUCACAUCCGAAGUGACAAACCGCCUACCAAUUUUUUACCCCCAAUAAAUCCGGACAACGGUUGCACCCUAAUUAUUACCGCGGCUGGUGGGAAGUAAUUAGGCGGUGCUUUUUCUGGAGGGACCGUCACUUUCCCUUCUUCCCGGAUGAAAGAGGUUUACAACCGGAAGGCCUCCCUCCCGCAGGCGGCGUUGCUGCGGCUGGCUUUCACCGAUUGAGAAAUAUUCCCCAUUGCUGCCUCCCG
rnacentral:rRNA from 1 species